UACGGGGGGGGCAAGCGUUGUUCGGAAUUACUGGGCGUAAAGGGCGCGUAGGCGGCUCAAUCAGUCGGGCGUGAAAGCUCUGGGCUUAACCCAGAAAGGUCGUUCGAUACUGUUGGGCUAGAGUGUGGAAGAGGCUACUGGAAUUCCGUGUGUAGCGGUGAAAUGCGUAGAGAUCGGUAGGAACACCAGUGGCGAAGGCGGUCUCCUGGGGCAUUCUUGACGCUGAGGAGCGAAAGCGUGGGGAGCAAACAGG
rnacentral:rRNA from 1 species